rnacentral:rRNA from 1 species
AUUGAUACUAAGCCAUGCGAGUCAUUGUAGCAAUACAAGGCAGACGGCUCAGUAACGCGUAGUCAAUCUACCCUAUGGACGGGAAUAACCUCGGGAAACUGAGAAUAAUGCCCGAUAGAACAUUAUGCCUGGAAUGGUUAUGUUUCAAAUGAUUUAUCGCCAUAGGAUGGGACUGCGGCCUAUCAGUUUGUUGGUGAGGUAAUGGCCCACCAAGACUAUUACAGGUACGGGCUCUGAGAGGAGUAGCCCGGAGAUGGGUACUGAGACACGGACCCAGGCCCUAUGGGGCGCAGCAGGCGAGAAAACUUUGCAAUGUGCGAAAGCACGACAAGGUUAAUCCGAGUGGUUUCUGCUAAAGAAACCUUUUGUCAGUCCUAGAAACACUAACGAAUAAGGGGUGGGCAAGUUCUGGUGUCAGCCGCCGCGGUAAAACCAGCACCUCAAGUGGUCAGGAUGAUUAUUGGGCCUAAAGCAUCCGUAGCUCGUUUUGUAAGUUUUCGGUUAAAUCCAUGCGCUUAACGUAUGGGCUGCCGGGAAUACUGCAUAACUAGGAAGUGGGAGAGGUAGACGGUACUCGGGAGGAAGGGGUAAAAUCCUUUGAUCUCUUGAUGACCACCUGUGGCGAAGGCGGUCUACCAGAACACGUUCGACGGUGAGGGAUGAAAGCUGGGGGAGCAAACCGGAUUAGAUACCCGGGUAGUCCCAGCUGUAAACUAUGCAAACUCAGUGAUGCAUUGGCUUAUGGCCAAUGCAGUGCUGCAGGGAAGCCGUUAAGUUUGCCGCCUGGGAAGUACGUACGCAAGUAUGAAACUUAAAGGAAUUGGCGGGGGAGCACCACAAGGGGUGAAGCCUGCGGUUCAAUUGGAUUCAACGCC